GCAAUAGAAAGUCAACAUCAUGCGGCAAGAAUGACAUCUUCUUGAACUUGAAGAUGAUGAAAGUGGCCAACACAGAAUCAAAAUAUGAUGUUAAUGAGAUAAAAUGCAGAGAGGAGUGUCUCAGCGAAUGCCGAUGCCAGGCUUAUUCCUAUACUGAAGGUAAUAGUUCUCGGAGAGACGUUGAACCUAGUAGCCCCACCUGCUGGAUUUGGACAGAGGAUCUUAGCAAU
rnacentral:misc_RNA from 1 species